CAACUGGGAUUGCCUUAGUAACGGCGAGUGAAGCGGCAAUAGCUCAAAUUUGAAAGCUGGCCCCUUUGGGGUCCGCGUUGUAAUUUGUAGAGGAUGAUUCGGCGAGGGCUCCCGUCUAAGUCCCCUGGAACGGGGCGUCAUAGAGGGUGAGAAUCCCGUAUGUGAUGGGUUGCCUUAGCCAUGUGAAUCUCCUUCGACGAGUCGAGUUGUUUGGGAAUGCAGCUCUAAAUGGGAGGUAAAUUUCUUCUAAAGCUAAAUACCGGCCAGAGACCGAUAGCGCACAAGUAGAGUGAUCGAAAGAUGAAAAGCACUUUGGAAAGAGAGUUAAAAAGUACGUGAAAUUGUUGAAAGGGAAGCGCUUGCAGCCAGACUUGUCCGCAGUUGCUCAGCCGGUCUCCUGACCGGCGUACUCUUCUGCGGCCAGGCCAGCAUCAGUUCGGGCGGUCGGAUAAAGACCCCAGGAAUGUAGCUCCUCUCGGGGAGUGUUAUAGCCUGGGGUGGAAUGCGGCCAGCCUGGACUGAGGAUCUCGCUUCGGCUAGGAUGCUGGCGUAAUGGCUGUAAGCGG
rnacentral:rRNA from 1 species